UGCAUGUAGGCACAGGUGCACACACAGGUGUAUGUAUGCACAGAUGCACGCGAGGAGGUGGGUUUUCACUGGUGAUGGUAUGCUGUGUAACAGCAAACACUCACUGAGCAUUUACACUGAGCCAGGAGCCACUUAGAGAGUUCACAUGGAUGAUCUCAGUGAACUCUGGUCAGGAACACAUGAGGGAGUUACUUUAUCUUUUGAGUCAUACCCACAUUUCAAGUGAAGAAUCAAAGUCACAGAGAGGUGAUGUAACUUCCCCAGCAUCACACAGCAGGUAGUCAGUGAGCCACACAGAUAGUCAACCCCAACCCUCUGCUCCCACUGGCUCUGUGAGGAUGGAGCUGUUUGGUUCUGAUUCUUCCCUCUUUCCUACUGUGGGUGGUCUCUAUUCUCCCCUCCUGCUGAUGGUGGACCGGGCCCCAUGAUGAGCUUUGGCCUGGACAAUGUGAACAGAAGAGACAGCUGAAAAGUCCCAGCCCAGGCUUUAGAGGUGCCACACAUUUCGGGCAAUCUUUGUGCACUCUGCCAUGAGCGGCAGUUCCCUGAAGCAGCUGCGGCCGUUCAGCUGGCCCUGGAACGAGACCCAGGAGCCCAACCUAGCCCCACCUGCAGGGAAUGGUCAACCCUAGCUGAGCCCACAGACCCCAACUGGCCUGCAAAUGCAUGAGCAAGAAGAAACGAUCAGUGUUAAAACCACAUGAACGUUGGGACCACUGGUUAUGCAGCACAGUUGCCUGGCUUAUUCUGCUAAGUGCUCAGGGGCAGAUGCACCAGCCUGUCACUCUCAGGAGCUUCCAUGCUCCUCCCUGCCUUGUCACCACUCCUGGCAUCUUAUCCUUUGUCUCUCCUCCUCAGGAAACAGUGAGGCCGGGGUUGGGAGGACGAGGAGAUGGCGAGUCCUGCUCCCAGGUUCAGGAAGGGGCACAGUGGUUUUGGGGAGCCUCCUUGGAGCGCUUCUCAUCCUGGAGCAGUAGCGUUUGCGUGGUCACCCAGUUUUGGGUGUUCGGACCCCGUUCCUUUCUCCAUGUCCUGUCUCCCAUGAACCGUCUGGCCCCUCUGGCUUCUUGCGCAGACAGCCUUCCUCCACGGCUGCCGUAGGGAGGCGCUCCAUCUCAGGAAGGCCUGGUGCCCGCCGGGGGUUCCAGCAUCACUGAAGGUGUCAUAGUGGCUCUUCUGACAUCUUAGUGGGACAAGGAAGGGAGACCAGCAGGGCCUGAGGCCAGCUGUGUUUCUGGGGUGAGGUCUGGGCACCUCCCUUCUUUGCCCUUCCUGCCUCUCACUGUGGCGGCCAAACGGGAUUCCCACGUCCCACGGCCUUGGAAGUCUGUUCAGCGAUUACGUGCACUUUAUCCAGCUGACAGUGCAGAACGCUGCCAAGACUUGGAAGCGCCACGCGGUCUCGGCUCAGGAAACCUGUCCUCUCGGAGGCACAUGUCUUAGUGCUGAGAUGGGACGUGAGAGGUCGGACAGUGCUCUCCAGAGGUUCCAUUUCGGGAGGACAGCCACAGAUGAGAACAAGCAAGCAAGGAAGCCACCGUGGGCAGCCCACACCACGAGCAAAGUGGACGAAUGACCCAUGAUGGGGAACGAGCACAGAGCAGACCUCUCUGGGAGGUGACGUUUGUCAGACGGAAUCAUCACUGGCAGGAAGGUGGCAGCCAUGCGGGAUCGGGGGGAGGAAGAUCCCAGGAGAGAGAAACGACGAGAUGAGCGAGCACUUAUGAAGUGUCUGCUGUAUGCCAGACUCUGCGCUGAGCGCACAUGUACUUUCAUCCUCACACACGCCACUGUGCAGGGGAGGACACUGCAGCACAGAGAGGCUGAACAUCUUCUCCAAGGUCACACAGCUAGUGGCCCUUGGACUUGGAUGGAAAGCAGUGGUCUCACUCCAGAAAUGCUCCUCUCUUUUUUAAAAAUGAUCUUUGCCAAUUUGGUGAAAACUUACCUCUGUUCUUUUGCUUUUGAAUUAAAAAGAACAGUGGAUAUAGAGACA